ensembl:lncRNA novel transcript
AGGGUUCCCAGCUUCCUCCUGUUUGGGCUCAGUGUUUCCUCUGUGUCCUCCCUCAGUCUCCUCUCAAUCUUCCCUCCAAGAUCUGCUGGGAGUGGGCCAGACUUCCCAUGUCCCUGACUGUCAGCAGCAGAUGUUCCUCCUCUAGACCACCAUCUUGAAUCCAGAUUCACUCCACUCUCUUCUUGCUGCAAUAUCUCUGAGAAGAAGCCGUAGGGGAUUGUUCUCCAGUCUUGACUUUGAGAACUUGGUAGAGCUCCUGAAGGCUCACCUGAUAAGAGAUGUAUGUCACAAUCUGCUCACCCUGGCAUUUCUCUAAAUAGAAGGUUCAUCUGUCUGAAUAUAGAUAUCAAGAAGUGGCAGAGUAUCAGAGGAGAAAGAUAUCAAGAAAUAGAAUAUUCAAGCUGUUUCAACUUCUACCCGUUCCACAUUUCCGAAGCUACUUCCACAUUUCAGGUAGCAAGAAACAGGCCUCUGAAAUUUAAGAACCACAAAACAAUAAAAGAAGUAAACUCUUUUGUUGAAAAGCUCCAAUUCCCCUGUAAACGUCUCAUUCAGAGUCUAAUUGUAACCCAAUUAAGAAAAUUAAGAUGAGUAGAAACAGCUGGAACAGAAGGCACUUGGGGUGAAGUGUACCCUCUGCAGUCAUUAUUUGAUGGAGAUCAUUACCCAACUCUACACACAGCACAUGAUAUUUAAUAUGAUUGGACUAAUUUAUAUCUGAAAAGAAUAAAAGUAUGUUAUGUAAAUAAA